ensembl:rRNA 5S_rRNA 5S ribosomal RNA
GCCUACGGCCAUACCGCCCUGAGAACGCCCGGUCUCGUCUGAUCUCGGAAGCUAAGCAGGGUCGGGCCCGGUCAGUACUUGGAUGGGAGACCGCCGGGGAAUACCGGGUGCUGUAGGCA